rnacentral:sRNA from 1 species
ACAGGCACUUUUCUAGUCGAUCUCAAAAUCAUAUCUUAUAUUCCAAUUCACUACGUAACGUAUACAAUCUUUAAAAUUCCACAUGUAUCAUAAUAAAAGAUAUUUUCAUAAUAACCAUGUAAUUGGAAUACAUAAUUGCAUAUAAUUGCACAUAAUUUAACAAUAAACUUAAUUUAUAAAUACUUUAAAAAUAUUUAUAUUUUUCCACUCACAGUACAAUGUUCGCAAAAUCAACCCGAUUGACAAGCUAUUCUGAUGUCAGUAUCGUAGCCUGAAAUACGAUAUAAUUUUUAAAUAAACAAUUAAUUAUUUUAAAUAAUUUCAAUAAUUAAAUAGGCAAUACCCAAACUUAAUUAUUUCACGUUUAGGUGAUUUCUAAAGUCUCUUUAAUCACUAAAACUAGUUUUCUUUUAUUUUACUCAAUUUCAUAGUUUAUUAUGCUUAACCCCUUCAAUAAAAUUGAAUUUAAUCUCACAAUCUAACAACUAUAUAAUUAAACAUAACUUGACAAUAAGUAACUUUUUACUUACCUUUCAAAAUUGAGGAAUUCAAGUCUAAUAAUAUAGACCACUUAUUUUCUAACAACAUAGGUGAACUUUCCUAUUUUUUUCUUCCUCUUCUCCUUUUUUUUUUUUUUUUUUUUUGCUUUUUCCUUUCUUUUCCCUCUCUUUUUCUCUCUCUCGUUUCUUCUCUGUUUGUAUAAUUGUUGUGUGUAAAUGGAUUGUAUAUAAAUGGAUUGAUACGAAAAUGAAAUGGAUUUGGAUUAUUAUAAUCAACUACCACCAGACUUUGUCCACUUUUGUUUUGGUUUCAUUUUUUUUUUUUUUAAGCUUGAUAUAUUUGACUUCAAUUUUAUAUUUUGACUUUUCUUUCUUUUCUUUUCUUUUUAAAUAAUUGAGGCAUUACAAUACUCAACCUCUUAAAAGAAUUUCGUCCUCGAAAUUAUAUUAGUUAAGAUUCGCACAUGUAAUAAAUAUAUAAAGAACACAUUUGAUCCUCACUUGCCAUAAUAAUGAUCACUCCAAUAAACUUUUAUUUAAUUUAAUCUUUCCUAUCAUACCUUUAAUAACUUCAUAAGAGCUAA